UCCUCGUUUAAGCGAGGCAGUCUGUCCAGAGUGCUUCGAACUCUCGUUCGAGUGGCAACAGGACACAAGGGUUGCGCUCGUUGCGGGACUUAACCCAACAUCUCACGACACGAGCUGACGACAGCCAUGCAGCACCUGUGUAAGCUCCCCUUGCGGGGUCGUUACCCUUUCAGGCUUCUACCACCUACAUGUCAAGGCCAGGUAAGGUUCUUCGCGUUGCAUCGAAUUAAGCCACAUACUCCACCGCUUGUGCAGGCCCCCGUCAAUUUCUUUGAGUUUUAAUCUUGCGACCGUACUUCCCAGGCGGCGUAUUUAACGCGUUGGCUACGCCACGAACGGGGUCGAUUCCGUUCACAGCAAAUACGCACCGUUUACGGCUAGGACUAC
rnacentral:misc_RNA from 1 species